rnacentral:tRNA from 1 species
GCUGACAGUAGCUCAGUGGUCAGAGCAAUCGUGUGGUGAACGAGAGGUCGCAGGUUCCGUUCCUGCCUGUCGCC